rnacentral:lncRNA from 1 species
AUGGAUGCACUUUUGUUGCAGAGUAGGAAACAAAUAGUGAGUCAGGGAGCUUUAUUUUUUUCCUUUUAUAGCUUUAAAAAAAAAUCACUUUCCUUCUUAAAACCAGGUUCAAGAACUGAUGUGUUAGACUCCCUUACAACACAGACUGCCUCACUCCCAGUGAGAUGGACCACUUACCUGCUCUCUACUACUAAUGGCUGGCAAAUCCCCUCAGAAUAAAUCUCUUGACUAAUUUCUGUCAGGAUGCCCUUUAAAUGUAUGGCAAGAUCUCUGAAGUGGUAAGCUCCCUUUGUUUUGACAGUAUUAAAAGUUUUUUUCCCAAUACCAAAUAGGGAUAAUGCAGAGUCACAUCCUGUUAAUGUGUGUGCAGCAAGAAGUAUGUUGCAGAAGUUAGGAGUGAGCGUGUCAUAAAUUGCAUGCACGGGUGUGAAGUGACGCUAGUCAGUUGUGUUGGUAAUGGUGCCUGUUUCUAUCCGCAUGUUAUCUGUGUAUUCCCUGUUUGGAAAGUAAUGAACAGCAAACACAAAAACAUCUGUAUCAAGUGACCUAGUUACUAUGGUUCCUUUGACACCAAAAGCCAUAUUGGCACACAGCAUGCAGAAACAUUCUUGUGUCUGUUUCUCCUUGAGUACUGUAUAAAAGUCUUGGGCUUCUUCAACACCUCUAUUGGUGAUGGAUUUUGCUACUUCACAAUUGGAAAAGCCUCCAGCAAGGAGUGUUUGUGUUGGGUGUGCUCUUACAUUCUCAGGUGCAUUUUGAGCCAUAUAUCCACAGAAGAAUUUUACAAGUGACUGCUUGUUGGAUGCCAUGUUUAGAAACUUUUUCCAUGGAGACACAGGGUGUCCACCAAUCACCUGGUAUUUCUUUCAUCCAAACUUAGAUCCUGUCCAGCACUGUUUUUCUACGGUUUUCACAGAGUUAUUGUUGUCAUAUCUAGCAAAGACUUCGAUUACAGAAUGAACUUUGUCAAAUCCUUUUAGGACCUGCCUCAGGUACUCAGCAGCCAAUUCACUGAAUGUGCGGAAUUUGUCUCCAACCAUCAUUUGUGUGACAUCCAUGACAUCACUGAUUUACACUGUGGUUUCUUUGUUGCAUGCUCUUAGCUCAUGGAUUCUUGCAGUUUAA